GCUCAGGAUGAACGCUGGCGGCGUGCCUAAGUACGUGCAGGUCGAACCAGCGUCAGCGAGAGGUGCUCUGCACCUUUCAAGCGAGUGGCGAACGGGUGAGUAACACGUGGAUAACCUGCCUCAAGGCUGGGGAUAACAUUUGGAAACAGAUGCUAAUACCGAAUAAAACUUAGUAUCGCAUGAUAUCAAGUUAAAAGGCGCUACGGCGUCACCUAGAGAUGGAUCCGCGGUGCAUUAGUUAGUUGGUGGGGUAAAGGCUUACCAAGACAAUGAUGCAUAGCCGAGUUGAGAGACUGAUCGGCCACAUUGGGACUGAGACACGGCCCAAACUCCUACGGGAGGCUGCAGUAGGGAAUCUUCCACAAUGGGCGCAAGCCUGAUGGAGCAACGCCGCGUGUGUGAUGAAGGCUUUCGGGUCGUAAAGCACUGUUGUAUGGGAAGAAAUGCUAAAAUAGGGAAUGAUUUUAGUUUGACGGUACCAUACCAGAAAGGGACGGCUAAAUACGUGCCAGCAGCCGCGGUAAUACGUAUGUCCCGAGCGUUAUCCGGAUUUAUUGGGCGUAAAGCGAGCGCAGACGGUUGAUUAAGUCUGAUGUGAAAGCCCGGAGCUCAACUCCGGAAUGGCAUUGGAAACUGGUUAACUUGAGUGUUGUAGAGGUAAGUGGAACUCCAUGUGUAGCGGUGGAAUGCGUAGAUAUAUGGAAGAACACCAGUGGCGAAGGCGGCUUACUGGACAACAACUGACGUUGAGGCUCGAAAGUGUGGGUAGCAAACAGGAUUAGAUACCCUGGUAGUCCACACCGUAAACGAUGAAUACUAGGUGUUAGGAGGUUUCCGCCUCUUAGUGCCGAAGCUAACGCAUUAAGUAUUCCGCCUGGGGAGUACGACCGCAAGGUUGAAACUCAAAGGAAUUGACGGGGACCCGCACAAGCGGUGGAGCAUGUGGUUUAAUUCGAAGCAACGCGAAGAACCUUACCAGGUCUUGACAUCCUUUGAAGCUUUUAGAGAUAGAAGUGUUCUCUUCGGAGACAAAGUGACAGGUGGUGCAUGGUCGUCGUCAGCUCGUGUCGUGAGAUGUUGGGUUAAGUCCCGCAACGAGCGCAACCCUUAUUGUUAGUUGCCAGCAUUCAGUUGGGCACUCUAGCGAGACUGCCGGUGACAAACCGGAGGAAGGCGGGGACGACGUCAGAUCAUCAUGCCCCUUAUGACCUGGGCUACACACGUGCUACAAUGGCGUAUACAACGAGUUGCCAACCUGCGAAGGUGAGCUAAUCUCUUAAAGUACGUCUCAGUUCGGACUGCAGUCUGCAACUCGACUGCACGAAGUCGGAAUCGCUAGUAAUCGCGGAUCAGCACGCCGCGGGUGAAUACGUUCCCGGGUCUUGUACACACCGCCCGUCACUCCAUGGGAGUUUGUAAUGCUCAAAGCUCGGUGGCCUAAUCUAUCGGGAGGGAGUCGUCUACAAUGUAGAGUACAGAUGACUGGGGUGAAG
rnacentral:rRNA from 1 species